rnacentral:siRNA from 1 species
UCGAGGUGGUCUUACAAAUCUCCA